rnacentral:rRNA from 1 species
GGAGCCACUGACUUCGGGGGACGAUAACGGCGUCGAGCGGCGGACGGGUGAGUAAUGCCUAGGAAAUUGCCCUGAUGUGGGGGAUAACCAUUGGAAACGAUGGCUAAUACCGCAUGAUGCCUACGGGCCAAAGAGGGGGACCUUCGGGCCUCUCGCGUCAGGAUAUGCCUAGGUGGGAUUAGCUAGUUGGUGAGGUAAGGGCUCACCAAGGCGACGAUCCCUAGCUGGUCUGAGAGGAUGAUCAGCCACACUGGAACUGAGACACGGUCCAGACUCCUACGGGAGGCAGCAGUGGGGAAUAUUGCACAAUGGGCGCAAGCCUGAUGCAGCCAUGCCGCGUGUGUGAAGAAGGCCUUCGGGUUGUAAAGCACUUUCAGUCGUGAGGAAGGUAGUGUAGUUAAUAGCUGCAUUAUUUGACGUUAGCGACAGAAGAAGCACCGGCUAACUCCGUGCCAGCAGCCGCGGUAAUACGGAGGGUGCGAGCGUUAAUCGGAAUUACUGGGCGUAAAGCGCAUGCAGGUGGUUUGUUAAGUCAGAUGUGAAAGCCCGGGGCUCAACCUCGGAAUAGCAUUUGAAACUGGCAGACUAGAGUACUGUAGAGGGGGGUAGAAUUUCAGGUGUAGCGGUGAAAUGCGUAGAGAUCUGAAGGAAUACCGGUGGCGAAGGCGGCCCCCUGGACAGAUACUGACACUUCAGAUGCAU